GACAGAGGUGGCAAGCGUUGUUCGGAUUCAUUGGGUGUAAAGGGCAGGUAGGUGGCUAUGCAAGUCUGGUGUGAAAUCCCAGGGCUCAACCCUGGAACUGCAUUGGAAACUGCAUGGCUUGAGUACCGGAGAGGUGAGGGGAAUUCUCGGUGUAAGGGUGAAAUCUGUAGAUAUCGAGAGGAACACCAGUGGCGAAGGCGCCUCACUGGCCGGUUACUGACACUGAGCUGCGAAAGCAAGGGGAGCAAACAGG
rnacentral:rRNA from 1 species